CUUGGUCAUUUAGAGGAAGUAAAAGUCGUAACAAGGUUUCCGUAGGUGAACCUGCGGAAGGAUCAUUAAUGUGAUGGAUGUGCUAGUCUUGACUUCUCAAUCCUCCUUUCAAUGUUCUCAUUGCUAGGUGGGGGCCUGACGGCUCGAGGAGAAGGGAAAUAAAAGCCCGUUCGGGUGUGCACUCCGAUACAAUCCAAAUUUCUUUAUACCUUGUGCAUCUUUGCCUGCUGAACAAGCAAAGGAUAUCGAAAUGAUGUUCCUUGAUUGUUUUAUGUAGGAUGCCUUUGUCACAAUUUUUAAAGAAUGUCUUAUUAGCUUAAAAGCAAAUGUAAAACAACUUUCAACAAUGGAUCUCUUGGUUCUCGCAUCGAUGAAGAACGCAGCGAAUUGCGAUAUGUAAUGUGAAUUGCAGAAUUCAGUGAAUCAUCGAAUCUUUGAACGCAUAUUGCACCCUCUGGUCCAUUCCAGAGGGUAUGCCUGUUUGAGUGUCAUUAAUGUAUCAAACCACCAAGCUUGCUUGGUUGGUCUUGGAUGUUGAGGGUUGCUGGGGUUAUAAUGAUCAGCUCCCUUUAAAUGCAUUAGCUUGGAAUGUAUAAGCCAUUUUAGCUUAGGCUGAUAUGAAUACAGCGUAUUAAAUGCUUUUGCUAAAGUGUAGCUUGUCUGGGCUUAUAACUGUCUCUAGCUGAGACUGUCUUUUGACAUUGUUAAAUCAUGAUCAUGACCUCAAAUCAGGUAGGACUACCCGCUGAACUUAAGCAUAUCAAUAAGCGGAGGAAAAGAAACUAACAAGGAUUCCCUUAGUAACUGCGAGUGAACAGGGAAGAGCUCAAAUUUAAAAUCUGGCAGUGUUGACUGUCCGAGUUGUAAAUUAGAGAAGUGUUAUCCAUGCUGACCCUGUGCAAAAGCUUCUUGGAACAGAGCAUCAUAGAGGGUGAUAAUCCCGUCUUUGGUACAGGCUGUUGGUUGUUUGUGAUGCACUUUCAAAGAGUCGAGUUGUUUGGGAAUGCAGCUCUAAAUGGGUGGUAAAUUCCAUCUAAAGCUAAAUAUUGGCGAGAGACCGAUAGCGCACAAGUACCGUGAGGGAAAGAUGAAAAGAACUUUGAAAAGAGAGUUAAACAGUACGUGAAAUUGUUGAAAGGGAAACGCUUGAAGU
rnacentral:rRNA from 1 species